GAGGGUUCUUACCGAAUUGGGCCUGUUGGCCCAUCAUUCUAAUUUUGGCCCAUUAAGCCCAAAAAUAUCGAGGGCACAGAAAUCAUGCACUUUGCAGUCCAAAUUUUGCAGCUUACCACAAACAUUAAUCGAUUUACCUCACGAGCAUUCGCACACUCGCAAAUCUACAAAAUACCGGUUUUCGGCAUUUCGGCUUUUCGACUUUUGCCGAUCCAGACUAAGAAAGAGGGUGUUAGUUACACACUUGUUUGCGACGAUAUGCUGACGAGAUCCACACACGAACCGCCU
rnacentral:lncRNA from 1 species